UUAAUGGAGAGUUUGAUCCUGGCUCAGGACGAACGCUGGCGGCGUGCCUAAUACAUGCAAGUCGAGCGGGGUUAUGUAGAAGCUUGCUUCUACAUAACCUAGCGGCGGACGGGUGAGUAACACGUA
rnacentral:rRNA from 1 species